rnacentral:rRNA from 1 species
UUUAAGACGAGGAUAACAACCGGAAACAGUUGCUAAGACUGGAUAGGAAAUAAAAAGGCAUCUUUUUAUUUUUAAAAGACCUUUUUCGGAAGGUAUGCUUAAAGAUGAGCUUGCGCCACAUUAGUUUGUUGGUGGGGUAAUGGCCUACCAAGACGAUGAUGUGUAGCUGGACUGAGAGGUCGAACAGCCACAUUGGGACUGAGACACGGCCCAAACUCCUACGGGAGGCAGCAGUAGGGAAUUUUCGGCAAUGGAGGAAACUCUGACCGAGCAACGCCGCGUGAACGAUGAAGUAUUUCGGUAUGUAAAGUUCUUUUAUUGAAGAAGAAAAAAUAGUGGAAAAACUAUCUUGACGUUAUUCAAUGAAUAAGCCCCGGCUAACUAUGUGCCAGCAGCCGCGGUAAGACAUAGGGGGCGAGCGUUAUCCGGAAUUAUUGGGCGUAAAGGGUGCGUAGGCGGUUAGGAAAGUCUAUAAUUUAAUUUCAGUGCUUAACGCUGUCUUGUUAUAGAAACUACCUUGACUAGAGUUAGAUAGAGGCAAGCGGAAUUCCAUGUGUAGCGGUAAAAUGUGUAAAUAUAUGGAGGAACACCAGAAGCGUAGGCGGCUUGCUGGGUCUUGACUGACGCUGAGGCACGAAAGCGUGGGUAGCAAACAGGAUUAGAUACCCUGGUAGUCCACGCCGUAAACGAUGAGUACUAAGUGUCGGGAUAAAACUCGGUACUGAAGUUAACACAUUAAGUACUCCGCCUGAGUAGUACGUACGCAAGUAUGAAACUUAAAGGAAUUGACGGGACUCCGCACAAGCGGUGGAUCAUGUUGUUUAAUUCGAAGAUACACGAAAAAUCUUACCAGGUCUUGACAUGCUCUGCAAAGCUAUAGAAAUAUAGUGGAGGUUAUCAGGGACACAGGUGGUGCAUGGUUGUCGUCAGUUCGUGUCGUGAGAUGUUAGGUUAAGUCCUAAAACGAGCGCAACCCUUGUCGUUAGUUACCAGCACGUAAUGGUGGGCACUUUAACGAGACUGCCAAUUAAACAUUGGAGGAAGGUGAGGAUUACGUCAAAUCAUCAUGCCCCUUAUGAUCUGGGCUACAAACGUGAUACAAUGGCUGUUACAAAGAGUAGCUGAAGCGCGAGUUUUUAGCCAAUCUCAAAAAAGCAGUCUCAGUUCGGAUUGAAGUCUGUAACUCGACUUCAUGAAGUUGGA